rnacentral:rRNA from 1 species
CUACGGGGUGCAGCAGUGGGGAAUUUUGCGCAAUGGGCGAAAGCCUGACGCAGCAAUACCGCGUGAGUGAAGAAGGCCUUUGGGUCGUAAAGCUCUUUUCUGGGGGAAGAUAGUGACGGUACCCCAGGAAUAAGCACCGGCUAACUCCGUGCCAGCAGCCGCGGUAAUACGGAGGGUGCAAGCGUUGUUCGGAUGUACUGGGCGUAAAGGGCACGUAGGCGGCACAGCAAGUUAAGGGUGAAAUCCCGGGGCUCAACUCCGGAACUGCUCUUAAAACUGCUGAGCUAGAGAUAGUCAGAGGCGGGUGGAAUUCCUGGUGUAGAGGUGAAAUUCGUAGAUAUCAGGAGGAACACCGGUGGCGAAGGCGGCCCGCUGGGGCUAUUCUGACGCUAAGGUGCGAAAGCGUGGGGAGCGAACGGGAUUAGAUACCCUAGUAGUC